UGCGAGUCAUCUUGUGAUUUGAGUAAAAUUCCCGAUUCCAACGGUCUCCCCAAAACCCUCGUUCUUCAGUCGGAGAUGGUGGAAGCAGUAGUAAACCCUAAGGCGUAUCCGCUUGCGGAUGCUCAGUUAACGAUAACGAUUCUUGAUCUUGUUCAACAGGCUGCUAAUUACAAGCAGCUAAAAAAGGGCGCUAAUGAAGCUACAAAGACAUUGAACCGUGGGAUCUCUGAGUUUGUGGUAAUGGCAGCUGAUGCAGAGCCCCUCGAGAUUCUCCUUCAUCUCCCCUUGCUUGCAGAGGAUAAGAACGUGCCGUAUGUGUUUGUACCGUCGAAACAAGCACUAGGAAGAGCAUGCGGUGUAACAAGACCGGUCAUUGCUUGUUCGGUUACGUCAAAUGAAGCAAGCCAGUUGAAGUCACAAAUCCAGCAGCUCAAGGAUGCCAUAGAGAAGCUUCUGAUCUAACCCUAAUGAUUGCUUUCUCCGUAUGAUGGGUCUCCUCCGACCGAUCGUGGAUGGAUGGCUUUGAGUGAAUGAAAAGCUCUGCUCAAUUCAAUUCCUCAAAUUCUGAAGGAAAAUGAUGAUGUUCUGCUUGACGAAGAUUAUGACAGCUAUGGAAGGCCUAUAGUUUCACCGAUUCAGAGCCGAAAGCAGAACCCCCAAAUCUAAUUGGAAAACAAACAAAUCUUAGCUUAAUCUGAUAGCAGAUAAUUCACCAUAAUUAAGGAAGGAAUGGAUUCAAACCUCAAUGCCAUCCACCAAAAAACUUCUACGGGAGGAUAUGUAUCUUUUAGAUUACGUUUUAUUUUGUUAUUCUUUUAGAACGUGAGCUUUUGAAACAUUUACCAUUUUAGAUAGGAUUUCAGAAUAUUAGACAGAUUUAGUUUUGGUCACAUUCUUAAUUUUUAUCCAUUGGAUCUCCUUACAUAUGGAGCCAAAUAUUUGAUUAAUAAAGCGUUGAAAGU